CAGUGAGGGAGGUGUCCCGGUCGGAGAAGGAAGCAGGAACACAUUCCCAUCGAAAGCCAACUGCAUCCCAGCCCUAAACCCAGAUACCUGAUACACUGGGCAGAUACCCGGGUACCCGAUGCACCACACACCCAGGUGGCAAUGCCAAUCUGCGCUGCAUUUCUACAGAUGAACGGUGGAGAGCAUUUUGACUGGUUGUAUCACCGCCUGGUAUGGAGGCUCCAAAUGCGUGGGAUCGGAUUGCAAGAGGCUGCAGAGGGUUGUAGACUCGGCCAGCUCCAUCACGUUACCUACCAUCGGGGAGGAGAUACAGCUUGACCUGAUCGUUAUCUCCAACAUUUUCUGUUUUCACAACACAUCAAUCCCAUGUGGAUUUAUGUCCUGAAUCCUCAUCGCCAUUGAGUCCAGGAAUUCCAGUUCUAACAACUUUCAAGAAGCUCAAUACCAGCCAGGAUAGUACGGAUCUAAUGAAGUCCGGUAGGAAGGAAGAAAGAAAAAUCUGCAGCAGAAGACAUGCUAUUACUCACUCUUAACCUUGCAAGGGCAGUUCAGAAAUUGGCAACCCUUUGUACCGCUUGAUGCAGUGAGAACAGUGCAGACGUUGUUACUGGGCGCCGGGCCGCGCCUAGGUUGCCGCGCUUACGUCACCCGCAGAUCACCUGAUUCUUCCCUUCGAUGAAGAAGGAGGAGGACCCAGCGCCAUCUUGGGCUCAGAACAUAUUACAGCCCCACUGCCUGGAGGAACCAAAACUGAUCUAAUCGCUCCUUGCUGAAGCUACUUGCGAGAGAACGGAGUGAAUCCACAGUGGAGGUGGCUGGAACUCAAGACAUAAGGAUGAAUCAGGCAGCACGCUGCAGGAAGGGAGACAAAGGGCUGUCUGUCCCAGUGGAAGAUUGAAUGCACAAGAGAUAAUUUUGAUUUUUUUCACACACUAAUGGACCAUCUGAUAUAAUCAGAUAUUGCCAUUAUGGAAAACAGCCAACUAGAACCUCAGACAUGAGACCACACAGAUCUAACUAAUUUCCAACCUCCGUCUUGUUUUGUUUUGUGAUUCAUUCCUUCGCGUCACUUCAUUGGACCCUGAAUCAUUGGACAGGCAGAUAAGCCUUGGUUUAUAACUGAUGAACUGAAGAGUAACACCUCUGACAGUGUGGCAGAGUUUGAGUUUGAGGAGAUUCGGUAUGUCACCAAAGACUCUUAGAAAUUUCUAUAGGUGUACAGUAGAGAGCAUUCUGACUGGUUGCAUCACCGCCUGGUAUAGAAGCUCCAAUACACAGGAUCGCAAGAGGCUGUAGAGUGUUGUAGACUCAGCCAGCUCCAUCAUGGGCACAACCCUCCCCAUCAUUGAGGACAUCUUCAAGAGGCGGUGCCUCAAGAAGGCGGCAUCUGUCAUCAAGGACCCUCACCAUCCGGGACAUGCCUUCUUCUCAGUACUACCAUCGGGGAGGAGGUACAGGAGCCUGAAGAACCACACUCAACAAUUCAGGAGCAGCUUCUUCCCCUCCGCCAUCAGAUUUCUGAACGGUCCAUGAACCCAUGAACACUACUUCAUUAUUCAUUUUUUGCACUAUUUAUUUAAGAUUUAAGAGAUCUUUAUUAGUCACAUGUACAUCAAAACACACAGUGAAAUACAUCUUUUGCGUAGAGUGCUCUGGGGGCAGCCCACAAGUGUCGCCACGCUUCUGGUGCCAACAUAGCAUGCCCACAACUUCUUAACCCGUACGUCUUUGGAAUGUGGGAGGUAACCAGAGCACCCAGAGGAAACCCAUGCAGACACAGGGAGAAUGUACAAACUCCUUACAGACAGCGGCGAGAAUUGAACCCGGGUCUCUGGCACAGUAAUAGCGUUACGCUAACCACUACACUACCGUGCCUAAUUUAUAGAUUUGUAUGUCUUUGCACUGUAUUGCUGCUGCAAAACAACAAAUUUCACGUCAUCUAAGUCAGUGAUAAUAAAUCUGAUUCUGA